UACGGGGGGUGCGAGCGUUGUCCGGAAUCACUGGGCGUAAAGGGCGCGUAGGUGGUUUGAUAAGGGUGUGGUGAAAGUCCGGAGCUCAACUCCGGAUCUGCCGUGCCGACUGUCAAACUCGAGGGCUGUAGAGGCAGACGGAAUUCCGGGUGUAGCGGUGGAAUGCGUAGAGAUCCGGAGGAAGACCGGUGGCGAAGGCGGUCUGCUGGGCAGCUUCUGACACUGAGGCGCGACAGCGUGGUGAGCAAACAGG
rnacentral:rRNA from 1 species